GAUCCCCUGCGGCGUUCGUAAGAUGGAAGAAAACUGCAGCCAACAAUUUUAACCUGGGUGUUGAUACUGGACGCAGUGUGCAUGCCUGUUCGCAGGAAGCCUGAAGCGUUCGUGAUACUCCCGCCCUUAUUGUAAGGGCUACUAGGUUUCUUCCACAAACGGCGCAUGCGGGGGUUGG
rnacentral:other from 1 species